rnacentral:rRNA from 1 species
UACGUAGGGUGCGAGCGUUGUCCGGAAUUAUUGGGCGUAAAGGGCUCGUAGGCGGUCUGUCGCGUCGGGAGUGAAAACUCAGGGCUUAACCCUGAGCCUGCUUCCGAUACGGGCAGACUAGAGGUAUGCAGGGGAGAACGGAAUUCCUGGUGUAGCGGUGGAAUGCGCAGAUAUCAGGAGGAACACCGGUGGCGAAGGCGGUUCUCUGGGCCGUAACUGACGCUGAGGAGCGAAAGCACGGGGAGCGAACAGG